UUAUUAUUUAAAUCAUUUUUUUAUUUUAAAAAACAUUUUAACCUUUUGUCUUCUUUUUGAAAGAAAACUUUGAAAGCUUAUAACUUUCUCAGCUUCUCCAUUUCCCCCCUCAGCCGAAAGGCUAAUAUUCUGGCCUACAACCGCCCCCAAUAUCUGACCGCGACAAACGGGACAAGGCCCACCGACGGUGCGAACGUGAUAUAACUCCGGUUCAUGGGCGUGUACGUCUCCUACGUGGAGGUGGAGUGACGCACGGUGCGGAGAUUCGCCGAUGUGCGGUACCUGGGGACUGCUUCGGUUGCAAAACAGCAGCUCCUUGGGUUUUUUGUUUGCUGAAAUUUGCUUAUGCUUUGGGCCUUGUAGUUUGGGUUUGUUUUUUAUUUAGUUUUGUAUAUGUGUGGGCUGGGCAUAAAUUGAGCUUAACAAUAAACAUUUUAAUUUCCGUCCGUAAUUUUUGACACUAAUGUCAAAUAUCUUAAAUUAACAAAACACACUUUUUCAUAA